UGGCAGCAAUACACGAACCCGCGGGUACCCGACCCGCCCCUACCCAGUCGGGGCGGGUUUAAACCCGACCUGCAGCGGGGAGGGUUUGAAGCGUGGCGAGGUGGACGAGCGGGGCGGGACAGGGUCGGGUUUAGGGUGAACCCGCCCCGGAGUGCAUAAGUAUAUAUAUGAAAUUUAGAAAUUAGGGUUAGGCCGUCACUCAUUUCAUUUCCGUUCUCAACCCUAGGCAUUAGGGUAACUCUGAAACUCAUUUCCUCGCCGUCACUCACUUCUGCGUCGCUCUUCACUCCUUCAGACUUCAGGCUUUGAGCUCUUCUCCAAGUAUCCAAGGUUGUCAAGGACCACAUCCUCUGCUCAGCUACGCCGCUAAGUCGCCGUCACAGAUCGUCUGAUCGUUUGCCGUCGCUCACCAAGACACCAACCCCUCCUCAUUCAUCUCGGUCGCCUCGCCGCUGUCGCUCACGGAGCUCACGUCGGCAUCGCUCCCACUUCUCGCCGUCACUAUCCUCGCCGACUUGCCUCUGCGAUCUGCGGUCUCUGGUCUGUGCUCACCUUGUCGUCCCUCCUUCCUCCGUCGUCGUCUCUCUGGUUUAAAUCUUGAUUUACAAACUUUCAAUGACGAUGAAGAUGUUGAAAGUGAUCAAGAAUAAGGGUUGAAGAUUUCUUUAUAUCUAAUAUUGUAAAUUCUUUACUAUGGUGUUAAAUUUGUAGUGAUCAAACACUUCUUUUUUUUAAUUUCAAGUUAUUUGAGCUAAUGACAUUGUAUGAAUUUUAUGUUUUUAUUUUAAUUUAUUUAUGAAUUUUAAAUUUUUGUCUUAA